rnacentral:snRNA from 1 species
ACCUAUACCCGGCCGUCGGGG